rnacentral:rRNA from 1 species
CCUACGGGAGGCAGCAGUGGGGAAUAUUGCACAAUGGGGGAAACCCUGAUGCAGCGACGCCGCGUGAGUGAAGACGUCUUUCGUUAUGUAAAGCUCUAUCAGCAGGGAAGAAAAUGACGGUACCUGAGUCAGAAGCCCCGGCUAACUACGUGCCAGCAGCCGCGGUAAUACGCAGGGUGCAAGCGUUAUCCGGAUUUACUGGGUGUAAAGGGAGCGUAGACGGCAGUGCAAGUCUGGAGUGAAAGGCGGGGGCUCAACCCCCGGACUGCUCUGGAAACUGUACGGCUGGAGUGCAGGAGAGGUAAGUGGAAUUCCUGGUGUAGCGGUGAAAUGCGUAGAUAUUAGGAGGAACACCAGUGGCGAAGGCGGCUUACUGGACUGUAACUGACGUUGAGGCUCGAAAGCGUGGGGAGCAAACAGGAUUAGAUACCCCAGUAGUC